rnacentral:lncRNA from 1 species
UUUCACAACCUGUUCAUCAAACUGGUUCUUCUACAGUGCUCUCGACCGCCAAAGAAAUCUUCACUACACCCACUACUUCUCAACACUGUCAGAUCCCUGCGAAACCAUAAGAAGAAGAAACUCCUCUGCUAACGGAAGCGGUGUUGGAGGCGUGAUCUUUGGCACUCAGACGCUGAAUCUUCUCCAUCUCAUAUUAAUCGGCCCAGUGAUCGAAAACUCUAUCAAAACUUCAUAACUUCCCAUAGGGCAAACUCGCUCUUUCUCACUCGGCCAUGUGGAGAAAUUCGCUGAGUUUUUCAUCCAAACUCGCACGCUCCAAUUCGAAUUAUUAACUCCACUCUUGUUCCGCACUUCCUCAAAACCUUCUUAUCGUGGCCUUCCUAGCCGAUCUAAUUCCACAAGCCUACAGUCCACAUUGACAGCCGUUCCGGUAGGUGGUCCGAUUUCGGUGUGGAAGGCUAGGGAUGUGGCGUAAUUGGCCAAGCAUUGCGACUUCUGUUAUUGGGAGCUCUCAAAAGCUCAUCUGAGGUGUGUUUAAACUGGUUUACACCUUUAUUUUUUUUUUUCCAACAAAUUUCAAUUUUGAGAUGUUGGAAUUUCGUGACCUCAAGCAUAAUGCUUGAAACGUAGAUCCAUCUUAUUGGAGAAAUUGGUUGGUUUAGAACAUAUUUUAAG